rnacentral:rRNA from 1 species
AUUGAACGCUGGCGGCAGGCCUAACACAUGCAAGUCGAGCGGCAGCGGAAAGUAGCUUGCUACUUUGCCGGCGAGCGGCGGACGGGUGAGUAAUGUCUGGGAAACUGCCUGAUGGAGGGGGAUAACUACUGGAAACGGUAGCUAAUACCGCAUAACGUCGCAAGACCAAAGAGGGGGACCUUCGGGCCUCUUGCCAUCAGAUGUGCCCAGAUGGGAUUAGCUAGUAGGUGGGGUAACGGCUCACCUAGGCGACGAUCCCUAGCUGGUCUGAGAGGAUGACCAGCCACACUGGAACUGAGACACGGUCCAGACUCCUACGGGAGGCAGCAGUGGGGAAUAUUGCACGAUGGGCGCAAGCCUGAUGCAGCCAUGCCGCGUGUAUGAAGAAGGCCUUCGGGUUGUAAAGUACUUUCAGCGGGGAGGAAGGUGUUGUGGUUAAUAACCACAGCAAUUGACGUUACCCGCAGAAGAAGCACCGGCUAACUCCGUGCCAGCAGCCGCGGUAA